GAGCCGAUUUCCCCCAACACCUGGCACCUACUGCCCCCUCCCUGGCUCUCUGCUGGGCUCAGCCCGCUGGCGCGCACGACCCUGACGGCAAGAGAUCACGAAUAGGUUUUCAGCACCCAGGACAAGAGCUGCCGCGGCGCCCGGGAAACGCUCCGGGUCGGCUCUGCGCUCGCGUCCCGCCGCCCUCUCCGCCAUCCCCCGCCGGGACUUUCCCUCCCACCAGGCUCUCGGUCCCGCAGUCCCACCCUCCGGGAAACCGCUUCCAAAAACACCUUCCCAAAGCCAGGAGAAAGGGUGUCCCUGGCCAAGGACUUCCUGCCCGCCCUGCCCGGGUUUGUUCCGAGGCGCCAGGGCUGUUUUUUCUUUACCGCCCAUUUCUCUGCCUGUGUGUAUAAAAAGCCUUAGGUUCGAUUUUUGAUUUGGGUCUGGGAGAUGACUUGGCUUCUGGAACAUUUCUCCUCGCUUUAGAUUUUACUUAAACUCUUAAGAUAAUUCGGGAGUUGCGGAGCAAAUUACUUUUUCUUCCUUUCUAACUGGACCUCUUGGAUCUGAUUUUUUCCUGGUCUCUGAUAAUAAAUUAAGUAAAUACUUUUUAAAAUAAAUACUUUUUUUAAAAAAAAUCAAACAAUUCUUUUGCAGUGUUUGAACUAUUCCUGCUCAGUCGAUAUGAAUUUUUAAAAACUAGAGGAACACAUACCCACAAAAACUGUGUAUCAGGACUUUGGCAUUAGCUUCUAAACAGCCUUUCUGAAUAAUUGUUCUCCUUUUUAAAAUACUAAUUAUAAAGCAUAAAUGAAUUUCAUAUCCCAGGGUGAUGAUUAGUAGAAUUUCUACAAGGAUCAAUUUUCUGGUCCCUUGUAAAUUUCAGCUAUUUUACUGUUGAAGUCACCAGGAUUUGACAUAUCCAGAUAGAACACACUAAAAUAAAAUGUCACCAUUUGGGGCUGGAAUUGUGGCUCAGUGGUAGAGUGCUUGCCUGGCAUAUGUGAGGCAUGUGGAUCCUCAGCACCACAUAAAAAUAAAAUAAAUUAAAUAAAGGUAUUGUGUCCAUCCACAACUUAUAAAUUUUUUUAAAAAGUCACCAUUUCAUUCCUUUCCUUCCAAAAUCCUUUUAAAAUCUCAUUGAUCUGAAACUAAUAAUAGCAAAAUGCAAAGCAGAAAUUGUUCUUCUCUCUGACCAUUUGGUGGCUCUUUACUACACCAACUUUUUAAAAUUUUAAGAUGUAUCAGAAUGUUGAAAACUCAGUGAAUUAAGAUAAACAUAUUCCAAGACAGAAUAUGGUUCACCCCUUUUCACUUUGUUUUUUGAUUUUUUGUUUUGUUCUCUUUUGGUUUUGGUUACCUAAAAUGAGUGACUGAAAAAUCCUAACCAUUGAUAUUUUCAUCCUUUCAUCAAAACUUUUUGACCCUUGUUAACUUAAACAUCCAGACCACAUUUUAUUUCCCCACACCACACAAAACAGCCCUUCCUAUUCACUUAAUAAAAAUAUAUUGAGGUGUAUACUUUGUGCAGCAAUGUGCUCACCGAACAAAACUGCUUAAAUAUGUGGUGGGAACCGGUUAACACCAUAAAAGUGGAGCUUUCUAAGUUAAAAACUAAAAGGAAUAGUGAAGUUGUCCUUGCAAAAAUGAUAUUAGAUAUAACAUUAUUCUCACUAAUAGGCCAAGAUGUCAAUCUUACCUAUAAUUAACAAGGAACUUCUAGAGAUAAUAUCUUUACCCUAUAGAAUGACCCUAAUAAUAGAUUUUUAUAAACAGCAAACUUUUUCUCCUCCUUAAACUCACCUUUAUAGACGUCACAUCCUUGCCCACUUCCUUAAUCUGAGUUGUAUUCUUUUUUAAUUGAAAGAAGUAUCAGAGGGGUCCAUGAAAAUGAAGAGUAUUGAAGAAGCAGUGAGAGCCAAGAAAGGGGAAGAGAGGGAUCCUCAAGUCAUGUUCCAGGUUUCUGAGCACAGAGUUGCCUGAAGCUUUCCUCCAGGUGCAGUGCCAUCUCUAUUCAGUUCAGAUGAUAAAUUUUGGAUUAACUCAAAAUAUAUAUGAUCCCUGAUUUACAAUGGUUCUACUUAAACUCUUUCAACUUGAAGUUGGUGCAAAAGUGAUACAUUGUGGGAGGCCAACCUUACGGG